rfam:Myotis davidii contig108857, whole genome shotgun sequence.
AUCGCUUCUCUGCCUUUUGGCUAAGAUCAAGUGUAGUAUUUGUUCUUAUCAGUUUAAUAUAUUAUCUCUAUUUUUUCAAUAUUUAACUUGU